rnacentral:lncRNA from 1 species
CAGAGUGGAAAGAUAGAGGAGAACAUAUUAUUUGGUAAAGAGAUGCAGAGGGAGAAGUAUGAUAAAGUUCUUGAAGCGUGCUCCUUAAAGAAAGACCUGGAAAUUCUCUCUUUUGGUGAUCAAACAGAAAUAGGGGAGCGGGGCAUUAAUUUGAGCGGUGGACAGAAGCAGAGAAUACAGAUUGCUCGUGCUCUUUACCAAGAUGCUGAUGUUUACCUAUUUGAUGAUCCGUUCAGUGCUGUAGAUGCUCAUACCGGAUCCCAUCUCUUCAAUGUAAGUCAUUUCAUAUAUAUGCUUUAUUUUCAUGCUUGAUAAGUAUAUUUUUAAACUCAGUGGAACGAAAGCUUAUGUUGCACAGUCGCCCUGGAUACAGAGUGGAAAGAUAGAGGAGAACAUAUUAUUUGGUAAAGAGAUGCAGAGGGAGAAGUAUGAUAAAGUUCUUGAAGCGUGCUCCUUAAAGAAAGACCUGGAAAUUCUCUCUUUUGGUGAUCAAACAGAAAUAGGGGAGCGGGGCAUUAAUUUGAGCGGUGGACAGAAGCAGAGAAUACAGAUUGCUCGUGCUCUUUACCAAGAUGCUGAUGUUUACCUAUUUGAUGAUCCGUUCAGUGCUGUAGAUGCUCAUACCGGAUCCCAUCUCUUCAAUGUAAGUCAUUUCAUAUAUAUGCUUGUUUGAUGAUCCGUUCAGUGCUGUGGAUGCUCAUACCGGAUCCCAUCUCUUCAAUGUAAGUCCUUUCAUAUAUAUGCUUUAUUUUAAUACUUGAUAUAUUUUACCUAGCCACUUGAUUGACCCAUCCUUUAAUUGCAGGAAUGUAUAAUGGGGCUAUUGAAUUCAAAAACAGUUUUAUAUGUUAC